rnacentral:rRNA from 1 species
AGUGAACGCUGGCGGUAGGCCUAACACAUGCAAGUCGAACGGCAGCACAGUAAGAGCUUGCUCUUACGGGUGGCGAGUGGCGGACGGGUGAGGAAUACAUCGGAAACUACUUUUUCGUGGGGGAUAACGUAGGGAAACUUACGCUAAUACCGCAUACGACCUACGGGUGAAAGCAGGGGAUCUUCGGACCUUGCGCGAUUGAAUGAGCCGAUGUCGGAUUAGCUAGUUGGCGGGGUAAAGGCCCACCAAGGCGACGAUCCGUAGCUGGUCUGAGAGGAUGAUCAGCCACACUGGAACUGAGACACGGUCCAGACUCCUACGGGAGGCAGCAGUGGGGAAUAUUGGACAAUGGGCGCAAGCCUGAUCCAGCCAUACCGCGUGGGUGAAGAAGGCCUUCGGGUUGUAAAGCCCUUUUGUUGGGAAAGAAAAGCAGCAGGUUAAUACCCCGCUGUUCUGACGGUACCCAAAGAAUAAGCACCGGCUAACUUCGUG